rnacentral:rRNA from 1 species
CAUGCAAGUCGAACGGAGCUUAGAGAGCUUGCUUUUUAAGCUUAGUGGCGAACGGGUGAGUAACGCGUGAGUAACCUGCCCUAGAGUGGGGGACAACAGUUGGAAACGACUGCUAAUACCGCAUAAGCCCACGGUACCGCAUGGUACUGAGGGAAAAGGAUUUAUUCGCUUUAGGAUGGACUCGCGUCCAAUUAGCUAGUUGGUGAGGUAACGGCCCACCAAGGCGACGAUUGGUAGCCGGACUGAGAGGUUGAACGGCCACAUUGGGACUGAGACACGGCCCAGACUCCUACGGGAGGCAGCAGUGGGGGAUAUUGCACAAUGGGGGAAACCCUGAUGCAGCGACGCCGCGUGGAGGAAGAAGGUUUUCGGAUUGUAAACUCCUGUCGUUAGGGACGAUAAUGACGGUACCUAACAAGAAAGCACCGGCUAACUACGUGCCAGCAGCCGCGGUAAAACGUAGGGUGCAAGCGUUGUCCGGAAUUACUGGGUGUAAAGGGAGCGCAGGCGGGAAGACAAGUUGGAAGUGAAAACCAUGGGCUCAACCCAUGAAUUGCUUUCAAAACUGUUUUUCUUGAGUAGUGCAGAGGUAGAUGGAAUUCCCGGUGUAGCGGUGGAAUGCGUAGAUAUCGGGAGGAACACCAGUGGCGAAGGCGGUCUACUGGGCACCAACUGACGCUGAGGCUCGAAAGCAUGGGUAGCAAACAGGAUUAGAUACCCUGGUAGUCCAUGCCGUAAACGAUGAUUACUAGGUGUUGGGGGAUUGACCCCCUCAGUGCCGCAGUUAACACAAUAAGUAAUCCACCUGGGGAGUACGACCGCAAGG